rnacentral:snRNA from 1 species
UUGGCUUCUUGAUACCAAUAGUAAAAUUGGAAUGAUACAGAGAACAUUAGCAUGGCCCCUGCGCAAGGAUGACAUGCAAAUUCAUGCAGCGUUCCAUAAAAAA